UAGAAAGAGUAGUUACAAAUAUUUUUGGGAAAUGAAUAAAUUGCGAUAUAUAUUUUUGGUUGAAAAUCGUCAAGUGAAGCACUUGUUCUUGGGUUGGGGAAUUAGGGGUUUAGGUUAAUUUGAUUAUUUAUUUAGUGAGCAGAAUUGAGAAAUUGAAGGAUGCAUCUUUGGCCGACAAAGAAUCUGAGAGAUUCUUUCAAAACUUCAUAUAUAAAAAAGCUGGAUUGGAACUACCGGAGAAUGGAAAAGGAUUCUCAAUCAUCUGAAUCAUCAACACAACACAAAUUGCUUGAAGAAGAAGACGCUGAUACUCCUCAAAGUGUUUCUUCCAUAUUCCAUCAUGAUCUUUUAUUGCUUCUUUCUUGCUGUUUCUGCUGCGCCGCUUGUGCUGAGGAGAAAUAAGGAACAAAUUGCUGGCUUGACUUCUAUUGGGUCAUCAACCACAUUGUGACAAAACUUGUUCCAAGUAUAGGGACCAAAUUAUGUACAUUUUUAUUACUUAUUUGGUAUCCCUAUAAUAAUGUAUAGAUUUUUACAUUAUUAUACAAUUAUUGUACUAUGUGAUUUGUUUUUUACAUUAUUAUACUAUUAUACAAGUGUGAUUUGUAAAGGGUAUAAUGUAAACAGAUUAAAUAUACAAGAAUCAUAAUCUGUACAUUGGUUCUCAUUGUUUCUAUAUUUUAGUGACUGUCCUUUGUUUGGUUCUA